AUGUCGUUCAAGCUCCCGAAGACCCUAUUCUAGGAGUCACUGUUGCUUAUAACAAGGAUCCUAGUCAUGUAAAGUUGAAUUUAGGAGUUGGUGCUUAUCGAACUGAGGAAGGAAAACCUCUUGUGUUGAAUGUUGUUAGAAAAGCUGAGCAAAAAUUGGUUAAUGAUCCGUAAGUGUUGUUGUAAUUAGGUGAUUAUUUGGAUUUCGGUACCACAUUUGAUUGUUGUGUGUUUAUUUGUGAGAAUUGAUAACUUUGUGGUUCA